AAUAAAAUGGCUGAUAAUAGGCGAUAAAUUGUAAAUUUAUUUAUGAGAGAUAUUCUUUUUUAUUA
rnacentral:tRNA from 1 species